rnacentral:rRNA from 1 species
AUUGAACGCUGGCGGCAGGCUUAACACAUGCAAGUCGAGCGGAGAUGAGGUGCUUGCACCUUAUCUUAGCGGCGGACGGGUGAGUAAUGCUUAGGAAUCUGCCUAUUAGUGGGGGACAACAUUCCGAAAGGAAUGCUAAUACCGCAUACGUCCUACGGGAGAAAGCAGGGGAUCUUCGGACCUUGCGCUAAUAGAUGAGCAUAAGUCGGAUUAGCUAGUUGGUGGGGUAAAGGCCUACCAAGGCGACGAUCUGUAGCGGGUCUGAGAGGAUGAUCCGCCACACUGGGACUGAGACACGGCCCAGACUCCUACGGGAGGCAGCAGUGGGGAAUAUUGGACAAUGGGCGGAAGCCUGAUCCAGCCAUGCCGCGUGUGUGAAGAAGGCCUUUUGGUUGUAAAGCACUUUAAGCGAGGAGGAGGCUACCUAGAUUAAUACUCUGGGAUAGUGGACGUUACUCGCAGAAUAAGCACCGGCUAACUCUGUGCCAGCAGCCGCGGUAAAAC